UACUAAAGGCUGAGCAAAGUCAUUGUCCU
rnacentral:piRNA from 1 species